AUUGAACGCUGGCGGCAGGCCUAACACAUGCAAGUCGAACGAGUGGCGGACGGGUGAGUAGUUUCUGGGAAACUGACUGAUGGAGGGGGAUAACGACUGGAAACGGUAGAUAAUACAGCAUACCAUCAGAUGUGCCAAGAGGGGCUGAGCUUGUUGGUGGGGUAACGGCUCACCAAGGCGACGAUCCCUAGCUGGUCUGAGAGGAUGACCAGCCACACUGGAACUGAGACACGGUCCAGACUCCUACGGGAGGCAGCAGUGGGGAAUAUUGGACAAUGGGCGAAAGCCUGAUGCAGCCAUGCCGCGUGAAUGAAGAAGGCUUUCGGGUUGUAAAGCACUUUCAGCGGGGAGGCGUUACCCGCACAAGAAGCACCGGCUAACUCCGUGCCAGCAGCCGCGGUAAUUC
rnacentral:rRNA from 1 species